rnacentral:rRNA from 1 species
UGGGGAAUAUUGCACAAUGGGGGAAACCCUGAUGCAGCAACGCCGCGUGAGCGAAGAAGUAUUUCGGUAUGUAAAGCUCUAUCAGCAGGGAAGAAAGUGACGGUACCUGAGUAAGAAGCCCCGGCUAACUACGUGCCAGCAGCCGCGGUAAUACGUAGGGGGCAAGCGUUAUCCGGAUUUACUGGGUGUAAAGGGAGCGUAGACGGCGGCGCAAGUCUGAUGUGAAAGCCUGGGGCUCAACCCCGGAACUGCAUUGGAAACUGUGCUGCUAGAGUGCCGGAGAGGUAAGCGGAAUUCCUAGUGUAGCGGUGAAAUGCGUAGAUAUUAGGAGGAACACCAGUGGCGAAGGCGGCUUACUGGACGGUAACUGACGUUGAGGCUCGAAAGCGUGGGGAGCAAACA